UAACGCGUGGGUAACCUGCCUCAUACAGGGGGAUAACAGUUAGAAAUGACUGCUAAAACCGCAUAAGCGCACAUUGUCGAGUGACAGAGUGUGAAAAACUCCGGUGGUAUGAGAUGGACCCGCGUCUGAUUAGCUAGUUGGUGAGGUAACGGCCCACCAAGGCGACGAUCAGUAGCCGGCCUGAGAGGGCGACCGGCCACAUUGGGACUGAGACACGGCCCAAACUCCUACGGGAGGCAGCAGUGGGGAAUAUUGCACAAUGGGGGGAACCCUGAUCCAGCGACGCCGCGUGAGUGAAGAAGUAUUUCGGUAUGUAAAGCUCUAUCAGCAGGGAAGAAAGAAAUGACGGUACCUGACUAAGAAGCCCCGGCUAACUACGUGCCAGCAGCCGCGGUAAUACGUAGGGGGCAAGCGUUAUCCGGAUUUACUGGGUGUAAAGGGAGCGUAGACGGUAUGGCAAGUCUGAAGUGAAAGCCCAGGGCUUAACCCUGGGACUGCUUUGGAAACUGUUAGACUAGAGUGCUGGAGAGGUAAGUGGAAUUCCUAGUGUAGCGGUGAAAUGCGUAGAUAUUAGGAGGAACACCAGUGGCGAAGGCGGCUUACUGGACAGUAACUGACGUUGAGGCUCGAAAGCGUGGGGAGCAAACAGGAUUAGAUACCCUGGUAGUCCACGCUGUAAACGAUGAAUACUAGGUGU
rnacentral:rRNA from 1 species